rnacentral:rRNA from 1 species
GACGAACGCUGGCGGCGUGCCUAAUACAUGCAAGUAGAACGCACAGUUUAUACCGUAGCUUGCUACACCAUAAACUGUGAGUUGCGAACGGGUGAGUAACGCGUAGGUAACCUGCCUGGUAGCGGGGGAUAACUAUUGGAAACGAUAGCUAAUACCGCAUAAUAUUGAUUAUUGCAUGAUAAUUGAUUGAAAGAUGCAACUGCAUCACUACCAGAUGGACCUGCGUUGUAUUAGCUAGUAGGUGAGGUAACGGCUCACCUAGGCGACGAUACAUAGCCGACCUGAGAGGGUGAUCGGCCACACUGGGACUGAGACACGGCCCAGACUCCUACGGGAGGCAGCAGUAGGGAAUCUUCGGCAAUGGACGAAAGUCUGACCGAGCAACGCCGCGUGAGUGAAGAAGGUUUUCGGAUCGUAAAGCUCUGUUGUAAGAGAAGAACGGGUGGAGAGGGAAAGUUCACGCUGGACGG